UUUCCAUAUCAUCUUGAUUGCAUAAAUCCCGUUUAUAUCUACAAUUAGGUUUCAAAAUCCCACACAUCUUUCUCUCUCACAUAUCACAGCCGACAUCAACUAAAAUCCCACACCACACAGUUCUGUCGCCGGAACUGCAUCGCCACCCAGAUCGUCGCAGACAUCGACCUGACCCCCAUCUCUUCUCCCGCUGCUUUAUCUCUCUCUCUCUGUGCCUCUAGAUGACCGCCACCCACUACUUUUGGUGUCGGCGUCCGACGAAACAGCGGGGACAAUGACGGACUUCUCAAUUAAAAACCCUAGAAUCAUCUGUUAUCUCUUUCAAUCGAUCUGUAAGUUUCUAUAAUUCCCGAUUCCUUUCGAUUAUGAUUAGCAAUUGUUUUUGUUUGUUUAUAUGUAUGUAUUAUGUAGCUAAUUACACAUAUGUACCAUGCUGAGUACACAUGUGUACUGUUCAAAAUCCCAAGUACACAUGUGUACACCGUUGAAAUAUGAAGGUUACGUGGAUCUUAAAAAUCAUAAUUCAAAUUCUGGUGGUGAAAUCUGAAAAAUAAAAAUGAAAUAGAAGAUAUUGUGGAUAAUGAAUUUAAAAUAGGAAAGAUGUAACUUAAUUCAAUUAUUAAAAUAAUGAUUUAAAUCUAAUUUUUUAUAUAAUUACAAUCAUACCCUUAACAACUAAAAAGGAAAUCAAUGGUUCAGAUCAGUUCAUGCAGUUCACGCUUGGGAGGUUGUUCACGCUGGAACCCUACCCUAUAUACAUAUAUAUAUAUAAGGGGCUGCUAGAAUGAGAAUCACCCCGAGUUUUAACAUUAACCCGCGCGUUGCGGCGGGACGUUGAUUAGAAAUGAGUAUUAUUCUUAAUCGGAACUGAAUAACUUUCCUUGACCCAAUC
rnacentral:lncRNA from 1 species